AGUUUCAACAGUUGUAUUAACGACACUUGCAUUAUCAAGCCUUGCAUUAACAAGCCAUGCGUUAGCGAACUAUGACCAUAUUUGGGUUGAUGACGUUGAUCAUUAAUCCGGAAAACGCCGAGUUUGGUCCUACAAUGAUGUCUCCCGUCUCAAUAAAAAUAUCUCUUCUUGGGUGGAGUUUUUCAAGGGGAACUACUCCCAUUAUUUCCGUUCUUCAAACAGCAAAUGAAACUAGUUUAUAGGCAAAUUCAAUAAAAAUGUCAGAUAAUGAUCUGAAGAAAACUGCUGAGCUUCUUAGGCAGGCAGCCAGAGAACUGGAAGAAAAAUCUCGAACUACACAGACUCCUACUACUAUAUUACCUGGACCGUCAACACCAAAUGUCAGCGAAAUGCGCCGUUUGUUUUGUCCCUAUUCUAGUAUUUCGAGGACAAGUAAUAAAAGAGUUGCUGGUACUGGUAGACAGAACACAUGGACUCAUCGUUUUUUUUGUGUGUCAAGUUGCACACAGAACACUGUCCCUGAUCGGUUCGCAAGAAAAGUCACACAGGAUGCUGGACUGGGAGAAAAAAGAAUAACUCUUUUUAAGAAUGAUGAUGCAAAGUAUUUUUCAAAUGAAAUAUAUUCACAUUAUCCAAAAUUGAUAGAUGGAGGAGGGUAUGAUCUAAAUCGUGCCAUAGGAAGAACCAUAAUGGAGUUUAUUGACCCCCCUCCAUCAGGGUACACAAGUGCUUUUCUGGCACAGUCAUACAUUGGACAAGCCAUCAUAUAUAUCAAACCCUUACAGAGAGAUCUGGAUAUUACUAUUAGUGGGACUCCAAAAGGCAUGCAGUCAGAUAUGAUAACACAGGAGUGCAUGGAUUGCGGUGAAAAAGUGCCUUUAAAUAAUUUGAGAAAACAUAUACAAGAAUUUCAUGAGCUUCAGGAAGAUAAUUUACCUAAAAUAAAGAGACAGAAGUCAGAGCAGUUGUCCUCUGUUACUCCUAUUUGUAAAUAUGCUUGUGUAAGUGAGCCUGAAAUCUUGCCCAAUUUGCGGUCUAGAAUUUGAUGAGGAAUUAGUUGAAAUACAUGCUGCAUCUUGCGGCGAAGAUGACAAGAAAACAGACGAAGGAAGGACACAGACUGGUAAUUUAAAAUAUGAUUUGCAUCAACUGUCCGAGAAAAUUUUUGGUCAAAAUGUAAAGGAGAGAUUCCAUGUCUCAGUAGUUAGAAAAAUGUUUUUGCAAACAGCCAUGGAAAAUCUGGAAGAUUUUGAAUUUGAUCAACUGUUAAAUGUAAUAUUCAUAGGGGAAGAUGGGGUGGAUGCAGGCGGCUUAACAAGGGAGUUUUUCUCUCUUAUCUUUAAACAUACUCCCAUUUUUGAAAAUAGUGGUUUUGCCAUCAAUUCAACACUACUACAGAAUAAAACAUACAAGACUAUAGGCAAAGUUGUUGCCUUUUCUAUCUUAAUGGGAAAUCAAGGACCAAGAUGCCUUCUACCACAGUUUACUAAAUUCAUCCUUCAGAAUGCACAACCUGCAGUUGGUGAAAUUUCAGAUGAAAUGUUAACUGGAGAUGUUCUCCAAGCUCUUAAAGAGAUUGAUUCUUUAGAAGCUCUAAAUGUAUCAGAGGUUUUUGAGAAAAAUGCUGAUAUAUUGGAAUCUGCAGGAUAUAAAAAGAUGUUGACAUUAGAAAACAAAAAAGAAGCCAUGUUAGCGAUUCGAUGCCAUUAUGGAUUUUAUCGUUUUUUGCCACCAUUACUGCAGUUCAUAGAAGGUGGAAAAAUCAGUACCCAGUGGUUGGAUAUGGAAACAGAUCUCGAAGAUGAUGUUCAACUGAAUACUGGACAUUUUCUUCUGGCAACAACUGGUAGCCCUGCCAUAUCUCCAAAUAUAGGAGAUGGGCUACUACUAUUUGACCAUGAAAAUUUAAACUGCACUACAGUAAAUACAUGUGCGCCAUCUAUUACUAUUAACCAAACGAAAUAUAUGAAAGAAUACGAUUUCCUAGAAAAUGCUUUUAUUAACAUAAUUGUAUGUGCUUAUGGUUUUGGUUUGAAUUGAAAAUGUAUGUAGCAUGAACUGGGCCUCUGUUGGUGAAAUACCCAAUAAAAACCUAUUAAUUGAAAAAAAGCAGUGUUGAUUUCCUAAUUCAUUUCAUGAUAAUUAGAAAUGAAAUUUACGGUUGCAAGAAACAAGUCCAUUCCCUGAUUUUCUGAAUCGAAUAAAGGAUUUAUUUGGCACAUCAAUUCUUCCAUCUUUUGAUCAGUUAAAGAUAUAGGAAAAUGACCAAUAACAACUCUUUCUGGUUCAUCAUCAUAUGCCAUCAAACCAUUUUGUAUUGUUCCGUAACUUUGAAAGUCUGCCUAUAAAAAAAUAUUUAAAAUCUAAUGAACGUCUGUUUGGGAUUGAAUUUAUAGGUUUAUUUAAGAUAUAAGUUUAUUUCAUAUUGUAAACAAGAAUUUUAACGAAACUUGCUGUAGUUGUUUAUACCAGCAUAAGGAAGAAGCCUAUCGAAAUUCAAUGUUUUCCAGAGUUAUUGACCUUGAUUCACGAAACCUUGUAAACGUGAUAGAGACCAGAGUUGCUGUAAUUGUUUAUAAAAAUGGCGAAAAUUAGGUCAAGUCACAAAAUCAUCUGAUUCUGACGAAGCAAGCAAUUAAUUAUAUAUUAUUGAGGUCACUGAUUAUGAAUAUGCUAGUUUAAAAGUUGUAUCUUAUCUUUGAAAAGGUUGAAAGUUUCAUUUUACUAGUUAUUGUGCAUGCCCAUAAAAACUUCUUCUUUACACGAUAGAGAUCACAGUUCUCAACGAAAAGUUUUGAAACUUUCUGGGAUAUAAUAACAGUUGUUGGGGUGUAUAAGGUUGGAGACUUCUAUCUUAUCAUUAACAGAUUAAAUCAUUUGUUUGCUAUGGAAAUUAAAAUAUCCCAAAAUCUCACCCUCCAAUUUUUGAAUAUUUUUAGGCAUAAUCUUAACCACUGUCAAAAAAUGAAAGAUUAUAUUAAUCUGGAUUUCUUGAAUAAACAUAUCAAUGAAAAUA